CUCUUGGUGUCCCUGGUUGGUUGUUGUCUUUCAUCCUUGAAGAAUCCCCAAAUGCCACCACCAUAUUGGUGCCAAUUUACAGUACAUACAAAUGUGGCUGAUCUGACCACACAAGCUCUGAAGCCUCUACCACAAGUCAGGUACAAAUGGCACAUAUGAGUAUUUGGAGUGAUGUCUAAAGCUGUACAUCUCAUGAUUCUUUUGAGUUCCUGCAAUUCAGCUUUGCUCUUAGAAUGCAGCUCCUUAUUUGAUGUAGCUCCAUCAUGCUGGAUGGGCCUGUGCCAGUGUCUUCUAUGUCUCACAAUCAAUACCCAAGUUUUUCAGAGAGACCUUGAGAAUGUCCUUGUCUCACAUCUGACUUGCGUGUGGGCUUGCCUUAGGUGAGUUCUCUAUAAAAAAUAUUUUAGCCAAACACGCAUUGACAUUCAAACAGCUUAGCCAGCCCAUUCUAAUUGUACUUUGUGCAGUAGAGUCUGAAUUUUGGCAGUUUAAUUCAUUUGAGAAAGGAUCUCAGCAUACCUUAUCUUGCCAAGUGACCUUUAGAAUCUUCCUAAAACCAUUCCAAUAGAAGUGAUUGAGUUUCCUGGCAUGGCUCGAGCAUACUGUCCAUACUCCAUGGGCAUGCACACAACAGUGACAUCAGCGCAACGGCUCCGUUAGACCUUCAGUAUGGUAGGCAGCCUGAUACCUCUUCUCUCCCACACGUUCCUUCAGAGCCUCCCAAACCCUGAGCUAGCCUUGGCAAAGUAUACAUCAACCUCGUCAUGUGUGUGUACAUGCUUGCAAAAUACAUUGCCAAGGGGACUAAAAAUCAAAACUAACAACAGGACAGAGCCAAAGAACCCUCCUGCUAGACUCAACAUAAAAGGUGAUACUGAAGAUACAAAUGUUGGGGAGACACAAGAUCUGCCUUCAAGGAGUCUAUUAUUAUCUAGCAUUAAAGAAAUGGACAAGCAGCUAUGUCAUAAGAUCCCAUUGAGAAAAUCCGAGAAGAGGUCUAAUGAAGGAAAUGUUUUUCAAAAUGGACCUGGAAAAACAGGCAGAACUUCAAAAGUUUCGUGCCUUGGAAGAUAUAGAAAAGCAAAGGAAGAUAGAGAGAAUCAAGAAAAAAAAAGUGAGGAAAGGUGAUGAGACAUCAGAAAUCUUCACUGCAGCCCAGUUUGGAGGAGAG
ensembl:lncRNA